GACGAACGCUGGCGGCGUGCUUAACACAUGCAAGUCGAACGGAAAGGCCCUGCUUUUGUGGGGUGCUCGAGUGGCGAACGGGUGAGUAACACGUGAGUAACCUGCCCUUGACUUUGGGAUAACUUCAGGAAACUGGGGCUAAUAUCGGAUAGGAGCUCCUGCUGCAUGGUGGGGGUUGGAAAGUUUCGGCGGUGGGGGAUGGACUCGCGGCUUAUCAGCUUGUUGGUGGGGUAGUGGCUUACCAAGGCUUUGACGGGUAGCCGGCCUGAGAGGGUGACCGGCCACAUUGGGACUGAGAUACGGCCCAGACGCCUACGGGAGGCAGCAGUGGGGAGUAUUGCACAAUGGGCGGAAGCCUGAUGCAGCAACGCCGCGUGCGGGAUGACGGCCUUCGGGUUGUAAACCGCUUUCGCCUGUGACGAAGCGUGAGUGACGGUAAUGGGUAAAGAAGCACCGGCUAACUACGUG
rnacentral:rRNA from 1 species